rnacentral:rRNA from 1 species
CCUACGGGUGGCAGCAGUGGGGAAUAUUGCACAAUGGGCGCAAGCCUGAUGCAGCCAUGCCGCGUGUGUGAAGAAGGCCUUCGGGUUGUAAAGCACUUUCAGCGGGGAGGAAGGCGGUGAGGUUAAUAACCUCAUCGAUUGACGUUACCCACAGAAGAAGCACCGGCUAACUCCGUGCUAGCAGCCGCGGUAAUACGGAGGGUGCAAGCGUUAAUCGGAAUUACUGGGCGUAAAGCGCACGCAGGCGGUCUGUCAAGUCGGAUGUGAAAUCCCCGGGCUCAACCUGGGAACUGCAUUCGAAACUGGCAGGCUAGAGUCUUGUAGAGGGGGGUAGAAUUCCAGGUGUAGCGGUGAAAUGCGUAGAGAUCUGGAGGAAUACCGGUGGCGAAGGCGGCCCCCUGGACAAAGACUGACGCUCAGGUGCGAAAGCGUGGGGAGCAAACAGGAUUAGAUACCCUAGUAGUC